rnacentral:rRNA from 1 species
UACGUAGGGUGCGAGCGUUGUCCGGAAUUAUUGGGCGUAAAGAGCUUGUAGGCGGUUUGUCGCGUCUGCUGUGAAAAUCCGGGGCUCAACCCCGGACUUGCAGUGGGUACGGGCAGACUAGAGUGUGGUAGGGGAGACUGGAAUUCCUGGUGUAGCGGUGAAAUGCGCAGAUAUCGGGAGGAACACCGAUGGCGAAGGCAGGUCUCUGGGCCACUACUGACGCUGAGAAGCGAAAGCAUGGGGAGCGAACAGGAUUAGAUACCCU